rnacentral:rRNA from 1 species
GGUUAGUGGCGGACGGGUGAGUAACGCGUGGGAAUCUGCCCUCAGGAGGGGGAUAACGGCUGGAAACGGCCGCUAAUACCCCAUAUGCCGAGAGGUGAAAUGAGUUUCGCCUGAGGAUGAGCCCGCGUCUGAUUAGCUUGUUGGUGAGGUAAUGGCUCACCAAGGCUUCGAUCAGUAGCUGGUCUGAGAGGAUGAUCAGCCACACUGGGACUGAGACACGGCCCAGACUCCUACGGGAGGCAGCAGUGGGGAAUUUUCCGCAAUGGGCGAAAGCCUGACGGAGCAACGCCGCGUGAGGGAUGAAGGCCUCUGGGCUGUAAACCCCUUUUCUCAAGGAAGAAGAUCUGACGGUACUUGAGGAAUAAGCCACGGCUAAUUCCGUGCCAGCAGCCGCGGUAAUACGGGAGUGGCAAGCGUUAUCCGGAAUUAUUGGGCGUAAAGCGUCCGCAGGCGGCCUUUCAAGUCUGCUGUUAAAACGUGGAGCUUAACUCCAUCAAGGCAGUGGAAACUGUUGGGCUUGAGUGUGGUAGGGGCAGAGGGAAUUCCCGGU